AUGGGAGAUGGAGGAAUCGCGUGCGCCGUCCCGCCUCAGCGUGCAGUGGAGGGCUUCCGUGCCGACGCCCUCGUGAGGGGAGAAGCGAUGCCAGACAAGGGGGAGAAAGCAGCGCACGGCCACCACCAUCACCACCACCACCACCACCGCAAGCACUACUCUGCUUCAGCUGCCGACCUCGAGGAAGGGGAGCUGCUGCUCAAUGGAGAGGCAGACAACACACGGGACUUGGACAGGACCAUACCUCCCAAGAAAUGGCGCAAGUUGCUGCCUUCGUCGCCAGCUGCAGAGUUGGAGCCGGGGGAGAUUGUAAUCAUGCAAUCAGAGCCAACAAGGAAGAUAAGGAGGAACGUGGAGCUUGACAAGACUGAGUUUGUGCCUGUGACGCAGAGGAAAGGUAAGUCUGACAAGAUCGGGAGAAAGUCUAAUAAAGAUGUGGUGGAGCCAGCGGAGGUUACUCCACUGGGAAAAAAGCGGGACCGGGAUUAUAGCGGCAAGAUAUGUUCGUCAGCUCACAUCCGCGAGGAUGGGAAGAAAGGCACUUCACGGGAUUCUGAUGAGGAGCCUGGUGAGAUUAAGCCAGAGAGCAGCAGCACCGGCAGUGCUAGGAAGAGCCAGGCAGUAGAGCCCGAGAGCAACCACCGCAAACACCAAGCUGAGACAUUCACUCAAUCAGGGUCAAAAAGUCGAAGGAAGAGAGAGCCAAAGACUUCUUCUGCUGGGAAGCAUUUGUCUGGAAGAAAUCAUGAUAUCUCGCCGCAAAUACGAGAUCGGCAUGAUCGGCUUGAGAGGAGCCCAGGCAUCUUGGGACGCUUUCCUCAUGACCGCAUACGCCAUGAGAGGAGCCCAGGCCGCACGGAGCGCUCCCCACGAGACCGAGACCGUGGUCGUCACUGUGAUAACAGAGACCGCAGCCCGUACAUUUCACCACGACACAGAGCACGCCCGGCCCAUCACAGGGAUAACACACCGAACCACAUUGAUAAUUCCCCUCGUGGGAGGACUCAGCAUGAGGACAUCAGAGACCGAACUCCGCUCUCUCAUGAUAAAUCACCAUCUGAACGUGGUCGAACAACUGACAGCCAUGAAGCAAGUAAGAAGAGCAGGGGUGCUAAGCUUGAAAGCAACAACCUAGAAAAUGUGCCGCACAAAAAUAAGUCAAUGAAGCAACCAACUAAGAGUAAUAGUGGUAGCAACAUAAAGAGUGAGGAGAGGAUCUCCAAGGGGAAGGCAUCCGAGGGCGUUCAAUGCACUGAGUUGUUGCCACCACCGCCUCCGCCUCCACCUCCGCCUUUACCACCUAAUAUGCCUCCUCCCCUGCCCCCGCCACCAGUACCUGAGCAGCUGAAUGAUCUCGCUGAAGAUGCCUCAAUGGAAGAAGACAUGGAUAUCUGUGACACCCCACCUCACACCAGUGAAGCACCUGAACUCAGUACUGAGCCCACUAUUAUCAUGGGGAAGUGGUUUUACCUUGACCAAUUUGGUGUUGAGCAAGGACCUUCCAAGCUUGCUGACUUGAAGAAACUGGUAGAAGACGGAUAUCUUCUUUCUGAUCAUCUAAUAAAGCAUGCUGACAGCAAUAGAUGGGUGACUGUUGAGAAUGCAGCUUCACCAUUGGUUCCAUCUGAUAUUCCCUCGGUGUAUGUGGACCUUUCUUCACAGAAGGUUAGCCCUCCAGAAGCCCCAGGAAAUCUGCUCGACGAAGCUCGAGAAGGAGCAGCUUUGUUGGCAUGGAGUGCUGAGGAUGAAGAGGAAGCUUCUGAAGAACAGAAGGAAGAUCUCUACAUUGAUAAUAGGGUCGAGGCACUAAUGUAUGGAGCUACUAUGGUGGAUGGACAUGAGCUUGAUAUUCUUGGAGAGGUUUUGGAUGCACAUUUUGAGCCUGUUGACUGGGAAAGGUGUAGUUACCCUGAAGAUUUUCCUAGGUUCCAAGGCCAAUCUGCAAGAGAUGAUGGGAUCAACAGAAGCAUUGGAUUCGUCAGUGGUGUUGGUCCUGUUGGGAGGGAAAAGUUUUAUCAUAAUGUUGAAUGUAGCGAGUGGUUUUCUGGUAGAUGGUCUUGCAAAGGUGGUGACUGGAAGAGGAACGAUGAAUUCAACCAAGAUAAGCCUUACAGGAAAAAGCUUGUCCUGAAUGAAGGCUAUGCUCUUUAUCAGAUGCUAAAGGGCAACCAUGAGGAUCCCCGCUGGCACUGCAAGGAAGACCUCUACUACCAUGUACCUGCUAAAAAGCUUGAUCUGCCGUUGUGGGCAUUCUCAUCAACAGAAGAGGACACUGACAGUGUUGAUGAUGCUAGUGCUAUUAUACCUGGAAGGUUGUGCCAGAAUCAGAUUAGACAACUUCCAAAGGGAGUGAAAGGGAUGACGCUUCCAGUUGUUAAGAUAAAUGCUCGGGUUGUCAAGGAUCAGUCCUCUAUAGAACCAUGCAUAAAGUCCAGAGCAGCUGAGCGGUCACUUUCUAGAUCUUCACGCUCCCACUCAACUGGAACUGAUAGGAAUUCUGUUCAUGAAGGUUUGUCUCAUUUCAAGAAACAUCAUGAACAUGAUUUACAAAGUCUGCAGAAGUCCAAGUCUGUUCCAAACAUCCCAGAGGAUCAUGUUUGCACUGUUGAAGAAUUGUCAGUCAAACUGGGUGACUGGUACUACAUGGAUGGAACUGGACAUGAGCAUGGCCCAUUUUCUUACGGUGAGUUGCAAAAGUUAGUUAAAAAGGGCACUAUUAUUGAACAGAGCAGUGUGUUCAGAAAGAUUGAUAACACAUGGCUUCCAGUUGUUAAGGAUAUAAAAUCUGAGUCUGCUGCUCGCGAUGGAGGGCCAAGAAGUUCAGAUUCUACUUCUGCUCUUGUGGAGCAGUCCAACACUGUUGUGAACCAUGGAGCUGGUAGGUUCCAUGAGUUGCACCCCCAGUUUGUGGGUUAUACACGUGGUAAGCUGCAUGAACUAGUCAUGAAGUAUUUCAAGAGCAGGGAGCUUACUUUAGCCAUAAACGAGGUCUUGGAUCCAUGGAUCGCAGCAAAGCAGCCCAAAAAGGAAAUAGAAAUGAACUUUCUUAACAAUUCAGCUUCAAGGAAAAUCCUGCCAGAAGAUGCUGGGUCUGUAAAAAGGGCAAGGCUGCUACCUAAUCAAAGUGAUGAAGAUAUCAAUAUGUAUGAGGACAUCCUUGCCAGUCAGAAUGAUGACUGCUCUUUUGAAGAAUUAUGUCAUGAUGCUGCUCUUGUUGAAGAGAACUCUACUAAUUCCGUAGCUGGAAGUGACAGCUGGGGUUUACUGAAUGUGCAUGUGUUAGCAAGAAUCUUCCAUUUUCUGAGGGCGGACAUGAAAUCACUGAUUUCUUCUGCAGCUACCUGUAAGCUCUGGAACACUGGUGUUCAGUACUACAGGAACACAUGUAGAUUUGUUGAUUUGUCUUCUGUUGGCCUUCAGUGCACCGAUUCUGUGUUUCAUGGUAUUAUGGCUGGUUAUGAGAAGCAAAAUAUAAGAACACUGAUUUUAGUUGGGUGUUCAAAUCUGAGCUCUCUUGCCCUUGGGGAAGUACUAGUGCAGUUUCCGAACAUAUGUUAUGUGCACAUUCAGGGUUGCAGUCAGCUAUGGGAUAUGAAAAGCAGAUUUCACCAUAUUAAAUGGAUUAAGAGCUCUUUGAAUCCUGAGGAGUCACUCCAGAAAAUUAAAAGCCUGAAGCAGAUAGAUGAUGGAAACGAUUAUGCAUCCAAAGUUGCAAGGAACUUGACCAGUCAGCUGGGUGGUUCUGAUGAACUUGACGGCUAUUUUGCUGAUAUCUCAAAUAGAGAGAAUGCCAAUCUUUCCUUUGGGCAAGGUUUCUAUAAACGAUCAAAAUGGCUUGAUGCUAGAAAGUCCUCUGCUGUUUUGUCGAAGGAUGCACAACUAAGGCGUUUGAUGCAGAGGAAGGCCGAGAAUAGCUACCGGAAGAUGGAAGAGUUUGUCAUCAAUAGAUUGAGAGAAAUCAUGAAGAGCAGCAGAUUUGAUUUCUUCAUUCCAAAGGUUGCAAAAAUUGAAGGUAGGUUGAAAAGUGGAUAUUAUGCUCGGCAUGGCUUUAGUUCUCUCAAGAAUGAUAUUCGAUCUAUGUGCCGUGAUGCAUUGAGAUCUAAAGGCCGAAGUGAUUUGGGAGAUAUGAAGCAAAUUGUUGUGUCCUUUAUCCAGUUAGCAAAGAGACUUGGUAACCCACGAUUGAUUUCUGAGAGAGAUGGAGCAGUAGCCCAGAAGGACAAUUCUGACACGAGUCAAUAUUCUUCAGACGCAAAACUAAAAAAGAAACAAAAUAAAACUACGGGGGAAAGAAGGGGAGGAAACUGGGCUACUGCCUCUGCUGGUGCAGAUGCUUCAUCCCGUGCCUUCGACCGUGAAAUUAAAAGAAGCCUCUCUAAAUUAAAGAAAAUGGAUGUUGAUUCUGGGAGUGAGACAUCUGAUGAUGAUGAUGGAUACUCUGAAGGUGAUGAAACUGAGAGUGAAACUACUGUUUCUGAUACAGAGAGUGACCUUGACUCAAAUUCUGCAGCAUGGGACUUGAGGGGAAAUAGUAUGAAGUUGUUUGAAUCUGGUGACUCUGUCGGGGAUGAUCGUGGAUGGGGUGCUCGCAUGACAAAAGCAAGCCUUGUCCCUCCUGUUACUAGGAAGUACGAAGUGAUUGAGAAGUACCUUAUUGUAGCAGAUGAGGAGGAAGUACAACGAAAAAUGCGGGUUGCUUUACCUGAUGACUACUCUGAGAAGCUGCUCUCGCAGAAGAAUGGUACUGAAAAUUUGGAGAUUCCAGAGGUUAAGGAUUAUCAACGUAGAAAGGUACCUGGGGAUGAAGUUCUUGAGCAAGAAGUAUACGGCAUAGAUCCAUACACACAUAAUCUCCUGCGUGACAUUAUGCCAGCCGACGUUGGCUUGUCAUCUGCUGACAAACAUACCUUUAUUGAGGAGCUGCUUCUGAAUACUUUGAAUAAGCAGGUUCGGGAUUUCACUGGUUCUGGAAAUACUCCUAUGGUUUACCCCCUUAAACCUGUCAUUGAAGAAAUCCAAAAGUCUGCAGAGGAGAGUGGUGAUAGACGAAUUGCAAAGAUGUGCCUUGGAAUGCUAAAGGCCAUGAGGAGCCGGCCUGAACAUAACUAUGUUGCUUAUAGAAAGGGUCUUGGAGUUGUUUGCAACAAAAAGGGUGGAUUUGGCAUGGAUGACUUUGUUAUCGAGUUCUUCGGGGAGGUUUACCCUUCUUGGAGAUGGUAUGAGAAGCAAGAUGGUAUUAAACAUAUACAAAACAACAGUGAAGAUCAAGCUCCUGAGUUUUAUAACAUUAUGUUAGAAAGACCAAAGGGGGACCGUGAUGGAUAUGACUUGGUUUUUGUUGAUGCUAUGCACAAGGCUAACUAUGCGAGCAGAAUCUGUCAUUCAUGUAACCCCAACUGUGAAGCAAAAGUGACUGCUGUGGAUGGUCAAUACCAGAUUGGAGUCUACACUGUUAGGCCGAUUGCAGAAGGCGAGGAAAUCACUUUUGAUUACAACUCUGUAACUGAGAGUAAGGAAGAGCAUGAAGCAUCGGUUUGCCUCUGUGGAAGUCAAGUAUGCCGGGGCAGCUAUUUAAAUUUUUCUGGAGAGGGAGCUUUCGAGAAGGUGUUAAUGGAAUUCCAUGGUGUGCUUGAUCGACACAGUUUGCUGCUACAGGCUUGCGAAGCAAACACUGUCUCCCAACAAGACUUGAUUGACUUGGGUAGAGCUGGUCUUGGUACCUGUUUGCUUGCUGGUUUGCCUGGGUGGCUUGUUGCUUACACGGCCCAGCUGGUGCGGUUUAUAUUCUUCGAGAGGCAGAAACUUCCUAAUGAGAUCUUUAAGCACAACAUGGAAGAGAAACGCCAGUUUUUUACAGAUAUAAAUAUGGAUUCCGAGAGGAAUGAUGCUGAGGUUCAGGCUGAGGGUGUAUUAAAUUCUAGAUUACAGCAUUUAACUCAUACACUUGAUAAGGUAAGGUAUGUUAUGAGAUGUAUAUUCGGGGACCCCAAGAAUGCCCCCCCUCCUCUGGUGAGGCUUACCGGGAGAAGUCUAGUGUCUGCCAUCUGGAAAGGGGAAGGCUCAUUAGUUGAUGAGCUCCUUCAGUCAAUUGAACAUCAUGUUGACGAAGAUGUACUUACCGAUCUCAAGGACAAAAUUCGGCUUCGUGAUCCAUCUGAUUCUGAAGACAUCGAGGGAGACAUCCGAAAUUCUCUGUUAUGGUUGCGUGAUGAGUUGCGAACUCUUUCAUGCACAUACAAGUGCCGGCAUGACGCUGCUGCUGAUUUGAUUCACAUGUAUGCUUACACAAAGUGUUUCUUCAGAGCCCGAGACUACAAGACCGUAAAGUCUCCACCAGUUCAUAUCAGUCCUCUUGAUUUAGGUCCCAAAUAUGCUGAUAAACUGGGACCAGGUUUCCACGAGUACAGCAAGACGUACCCAGAGAACUAUUGCUUAGCACAGCUUAUCUAUUGGUACAGCCAGAAUGCAGAACCCGAAUCUAGACUGACAAGAGCUAGAAAGGGUUGUAUGUCAUUACCAGAUGUGUCCUCUUUCUAUGUAAAGUCUGUAAAGCCAACUCAAGAGCGAGUUUAUGGCACCAGAACUGUGAGAUUCAUGCUAUCACGGAUGGAGAAACAGGCCCAACGUCCAUGGCCGAAGGACCGGAUAUGGGUGUUCAAGAGCGACCCAAGAUUCUUUGGCACUCCAAUGAUGGAUGCUGUGCUGAAUAACAAUUCUCCUCUUGAUAAGGAGAUGGUGCAUUGGCUAAAGACAAGAUCGAACGUUUUCCUAGGGUAG
rnacentral:rRNA from 1 species